UUAAGCGACUAAGCGUACACGGUGGAUGCCCUGGCAGUCAGAGGCGAUGAAGGGCGUGCUAAUCUGCGAUAAGCGCCGGUAAGGUGAUAUGAACCGUUAUAACCGGCGAUACCCGAAUGGGGAAACCCAGUGUGAUUCGUCACACUAUCAUUAACUGAAUCCAUAGGUUAAUGAGGCGAACCGGGGGAACUGAAACAUCUAAGUACCCCGAGGAAAAGAAAUCAACCGAGAUUCCCCCAGUAGCGGCGAGCGAACGGGGAGGAGCCCAGAGCCUGAAUCAGCAUGUGUGUUAGUGGAAGCGUCUGGAAAGGCGCGCGAUACAGGGUGACAGCCCCGUACACAAAAGCGCAUGUGCUGUGAGCUCGAUGAGUAGGGCGGGACACGUGGUAUCCUGUCUGAAUAUGGGGGGACCAUCCUCCAAGGCUAAAUACUCCUGACUGACCGAUAGUGAACCAGUACCGUGAGGGAAAGGCGAAAAGAACCCCGGCGAGGGGAGUGAAAAAGAACCUGAAACCGUGUACGUACAAGCAGUGGGAGCCCCACCACCAAAGCGUUUCGCUUUGUGUGGUGCACAAAGAAGCGUAACGACAGCACUGAAUGACGGUUAACGGAGCGCAAGCGACGUUCAACAUACAAAGUCAAGCAGUGGAGCGCUUUGGGGUGGGGUGACUGCGUACCUUUUGUAUAAUGGGUCAGCGACUUAUAUUCUGUAGCAAGGUUAACCGAAUAGGGGAGCCGGAGGGAAACCGAGUCUUAAUUGGGCGUUAAGUUGCAGGGUAUAGACCCGAAACCCGGUGAUCUAGCCAUGGGCAGGUUGAAGGUUGGGUAACACUAACUGGAGGACCGAACCGACUAAUGUUGAAAAAUUAGCGGAUGACCUGUGGCUGGGGGUGAAAGGCCAAUCAAACCGGGAGAUAGCUGGUUCUCCCCGAAAGCUAUUUAGGUAGCGCCUCGUGAAUUCAUCUCCGGGGGUAGAGCACUGUUUCGGCUAGGGGGCCAUCCCGGCUUACCAACCCGAUGCAAACUGCGAAUACCGGAGAAUGUUAUCACGGGAGACACACGGCGGGUGCUAACGUCCGUCGUGAAGAGGGAAACAACCCAGACCGCCAGCUAAGGUCCCAAAGUCAUGGUUAAGUGGGAAACGAUGUGGGAAGGCCCAGACAGCCAGGAUGUUGGCUUAGAAGCAGCCAUCAUUUAAAGAAAGCGUAAUAGCUCACUGGUCGAGUCGGCCUGCGCGGAAGAUGUAACGGGGCUAAACCAUGCACCGAAGCUGCGGCAGCGACGCUUAUGCGUUGUUGGGUAGGGGAGCGUUCUGUAAGCCUGUGAAGGUGGCCUGUGAGGGUUGCUGGAGGUAUCAGAAGUGCGAAUGCUGACAUAAGUAACGAUAAAGCGGGUGAAAAGCCCGCUCGCCGGAAGACCAAGGGUUCCUGUCCAACGUUAAUCGGGGCAGGGUGAGUCGACCCCUAAGGCGAGGCCGAAAGGCGUAGUCGAUGGGAAACGGGUUAAUAUUCCCGUACUUGGUGUUACUGCGAAGGGGGGACGGAGAAGGCUAUGUUGGCCGGGCGACGGUUGUCCCGGUUUAAGCGUGUAGGUGUGUGUUCCAGGUAAAUCCGGUUCACUUUAACACUGAGGCGUGAUGACGAGGCACUACGGUGCUGAAGCAACAAAUGCCCUGCUUCCAGGAAAAGCCUCUAAGCAUCAGGUAACAUCAAAUCGUACCCCAAACCGACACAGGUGGUCAGGUAGAGAAUACCAAGGCGCUUGAGAGAACUCGGGUGAAGGAACUAGGCAAAAUGGUGCCGUAACUUCGGGAGAAGGCACGCUGACACGUAGGUGAAGUGAUUUACUCAUGGAGCUGAAGUCAGUCGAAGAUACCAGCUGGCUGCAACUGUUUAUUAAAAACACAGCACUGUGCAAACACGAAAGUGGACGUAUACGGUGUGACGCCUGCCCGGUGCCGGAAGGUUAAUUGAUGGGGUCAGCGCAAGCGAAGCUCCUGAUCGAAGCCCCGGUAAACGGCGGCCGUAACUAUAACGGUCCUAAGGUAGCGAAAUUCCUUGUCGGGUAAGUUCCGACCUGCACGAAUGGCGUAAUGAUGGCCAGGCUGUCUCCACCCGAGACUCAGUGAAAUUGAACUCGCUGUGAAGAUGCAGUGUACCCGCGGCAAGACGGAAAGACCCCGUGAACCUUUACUAUAGCUUGACACUGAACAUUGAGCCUUGAUGUGUAGGAUAGGUGGGAGGCUUUGAAGCGUGGACGCCAGUCUGCGUGGAGCCGACCUUGAAAUACCACCCUUUAAUGUUUGAUGUUCUAACGUGGACCCGU
rnacentral:rRNA from 1 species